UUAAGCGACUAAGCGUACACGGUGGAUGCCCUGGCAGUCAGAGGCGAUGAAGGACGUGCUAAUCUGCGAAAAGCGUCGGUAAGGUGAUAUGAACCGUUAUAACCGGCGAUGUCCGAAUGGGGAAACCCAGUGCAAUUCGUUGCACUAUCGUUAACUGAAUACAUAGGUUAACGAGGCGAACCGGGGGAACUGAAACAUCUAAGUACCCCGAGGAAAAGAAAUCAACCGAGAUUCCCCCAGUAGCGGCGAGCGAACGGGGAGCAGCCCAGAGUCUGAAUCAGCUUGUGUGUUAGUGGAACGGUCUGGAAAGUCCGACGGUACAGGGUGAUAGUCCCGUACACCAAAAUGCACAGGCUGUGAACUCGAAGAGUAGGGCGGGACACGUGGUAUCCUGUCUGAAUAUGGGGGGACCAUCCUCCAAGGCUAAAUACUCCUGACUGACCGAUAGUGAACCAGUACCGUGAGGGAAAGGCGAAAAGAACCCCGGCGAGGGGAGUGAAAAAGAACCUGAAACCGUGUACGUACAAGCAGUGGGAGCACCUUCGGGUGUGACUGCGUACCUUUUGUAUAAUGGGUCAGCGACUUAUAUUCUGUAGCAAGGUUAACCGUAUAGGGGAGCCGCAGGGAAACCGAGUCUUAACUGGGCGUUAAGUUGCAGGGUAUAGACCCGAAACCCGGUGAUCUAGCCAUGGGCAGGUUGAAGGUUGGGUAACACUAACUGGAGGACCGAACCGACUAAUGUUGAAAAAUUAGCGGAUGACUUGUGGCUGGGGGUGAAAGGCCAAUCAAACCGGGAGAUAGCUGGUUCUCCCCGAAAGCUAUUUAGGUAGCGCCUCGUGAACUCAUCUUCGGGGGUAGAGCACUGUUUCGGCUAGGGGGUCAUCCCGACUUACCAACCCGAUGCAAACUACGAAUACCGAAGAAUGUUAUCACGGGAGACACACGGCGGGUGCUAACGUCCGUCGUGAAGAGGGAAACAACCCAGACCGCCAGCUAAGGUCCCAAAGUCAUGGUUAAGUGGGAAACGAUGUGGGAAGGCACAGACAGCCAGGAUGUUGGCUUAGAAGCAGCCAUCAUUUAAAGAAAGCGUAAUAGCUCACUGGUCGAGUCGGCCUGCGCGGAAGAUGUAACGGGGCUAAACCAUGCACCGAAGCUGCGGCAGCGACACUAUGUGUUGUUGGGUAGGGGAGCGUUCUGUAAGCCUGCGAAGGUGNUGCUGGAGGUAUCAGAAGUGCGAAUGCUGACAUAAGUAACGAUAAAGCGGGUGAAAAGCCCGCUCGCCGGAAGACCAAGGGUUCCUGUCCAACGUUAAUCGGGGCAGGGUGAGUCGACCCCUAAGGCGAGGCCGAAAGGCGUAGUCGAUGGGAAACAGGUUAAUAUUCCUGUACUUGGUGUUACUGCGAAGGGGGGACGGAGAAGGCUAUGUUAGCCGGGCGACGGUUGUCCCGGUUUAAGCAUGUAGGCUGAUUGUCCAGGCAAAUCCGGAUAAUCAAGGCUGAGGUGUGAUGACGAGGCACUACGGUGCUGAAGUAACAAAUGCCCUGCUUCCAGGAAAAGCCUCUAAGCAUCAGGUAACAUCAAAUCGUACCCCAAACCGACACAGGUGGUCAGGUAGAGAAUACCAAGGCGCUUGAGAGAACUCGGGUGAAGGAACUAGGCAAAAUGGUGCCGUAACUUCGGGAGAAGGCACGCUGGUGUGUAGGUGAAGCCCCUGCGGGUGGAGCUGAGACCAGUCGAAGAUACCAGCUGGCUGCAACUGUUUAUUAAAAACACAGCACUGUGCAAACACGAAAGUGGACGUAUACGGUGUGACGCCUGCCCGGUGCCGGAAGGUUAAUUGAUGGGGUUAUCCGUAAGGAGAAGCUCUUGAUCGAAGCCCCGGUAAACGGCGGCCGUAACUAUAACGGUCCUAAGGUAGCGAAAUUCCUUGUCGGGUAAGUUCCGACCUGCACGAAUGGCGUAAUGAUGGCCAGGCUGUCUCCACCCGAGACUCAGUGAAAUUGAACUCGCUGUGAAGAUGCAGUGUACCCGCGGCAAGACGGAAAGACCCCGUGAACCUUUACUAUAGCUUGACACUGAACAUUGAGCCUUGAUGUGUAGGAUAGGUGGGAGGCUUUGAAGCGUGGACGCCAGUCUGCGUGGAGCCAACCUUGAAAUACCACCCUUUAAUGUUUGAUGUUCUAACGUUGGCCCCUUACCGGGGUUGCGGACAGUGUCUGGUGGGUAGUUUGACUGGGGCGGUCUCCUCCCAAAGCGUAACGGAGGAGCACGAAGGUUAGCUAAUCCUGGUCGGACAUCAGGAGGUUAGUGCAAUGGCAUAAGCUAGCUUGACUGCGAGCGUGACGGCGCGAGCAGGUGCGAAAGCAGGUCAUAGUGAUCCGGUGGUUCUGAAUGGAAGGGCCAUCGCUCAACGGAUAAAAGGUACUCCGGGGAUAACAGGCUGAUACCGCCCAAGAGUUCAUAUCGACGGCGGUGUUUGGCACCUCGAUGUCGGCUCAUCACAUCCUGGGGCUGAAGUAGGUCCCAAGGGUAUGGCUGUUCGCCAUUUAAAGUGGUACGCGAGCUGGGUUUAGAACGUCGUGAGACAGUUCGGUCCCUAUCUGCCGUGGGCGCUGGAGAAUUGAGGGGGGCUGCUCCUAGUACGAGAGGACCGGAGUGGACGCAUCACUGGUGUUCGGGUUGUCAUGCCAAUGGCACUGCCCGGUAGCUAAAUGCGGAAGAGAUAAGUGCUGAAAGCAUCUAAGCACGAAACUUGCCCCGAGAUGAGUUCUCCCUGAGACUUUAAGUCUCCUGAAGGAACGUUGAAGACGACGACGUUGAUAGGCCGGGUGUGUAAGCGCAGCGAUGCGUUGAGCUAACCGGUACUAAUGAACCGUGAGGCUUAACCUU
rnacentral:rRNA from 1 species